UCCCACGUGUGGGAGCUUGUAUGUACCUUAUGAAUAAGCAUCGGCUAACUCCGUGCCAGCAGCCGCGGUAAUACGGAGGAUGCGAGCGUUAUCCGGAUUUAUUGGGUUUAAAGGGAGCGCAGACGGGUCGUUAAGUCAGCUGUGAAAGUUUGGGGCUCAACCUUAAAAUUGCAGUUGAUACUGGCGUCCUUGAGUGCGGUUGAGGUGUGCGGAAUUCGUGGUGUAGCGGUGAAAUGCUUAGAUAUCACGAAGAACUCCGAUUGCGAAGGCAGCACACUAAUCCGUAACUGACGUUCAUGCUCGAAAGUGUGGGUAUCAAACAGGAUUAGAUACCCUGGUAGUCCACACGGUAAACGAUGGAUACUCGCUGUUGGCGAUAUACUGUCAGCGGCUUAGCGAAAGCGUUAAGUAUCCCACCUGGGGAGUACGCCGGCAACGGUGAAACUCAAAGGAAUUGACGGGGGCCCGCACAAGCGGAGGAACAUGUGGUUUAAUUCGAUGAUACGCGAGGAACCUUACCCGGGCUUAAAUUGCAAAGGAAUAAUCUGGAAACAGGUUAGUCUUCGGACCUUUGUGAAGGUGCUGCAUGGUUGUCGUCAGCUCGUGCCGUGAGGUGUCGGCUUAAGUGCCAUAACGAGCGCAACCCUCGCCGCCAGUUACUAACAGUUAAAGCUGAGGACUCUGGCGGGACUGCCAUCGUAAGAUGUGAGGAAGGUGGGGAUGACGUCAAAUCAGCACGGCCCUUACGUCCGGGGCUACACACGUGUUACAAUGGGCGGUACAGAAGGCAGCUACCUGGCGACAGGAUGCCAAUCCCUAAAGCCGCUCUCAGUUCGGACUGGAGUCUGCAACCCGACUCCACGAAGCUGGAUUCGCUAGUAAUCGCGCAUCAGCCACGGCGCGGUGAAUACGUUCCCGGGCCUUGCACA
rnacentral:rRNA from 1 species